GGCCUUCGGACUGGCUCAGGGAGGUCGGCAACGACCACCCAGAGCCGGAAAGUUGGUCAAACUCGGUCAUUUAGAGGAAGUAAAAGUCGUAACAAGGUCUCCGUAGGUGAACCUGCGGAGGGAUCAUUA
rnacentral:rRNA from 2 species